ensembl:lncRNA
GGAAUGAACUAAUACACAGAAGAGCACAGAAAGCAAGUUCUGUAUAAGCAGGGCGAUUAUUGCUACCAUCAUCUCCACCGGAAACAAGGCUCCUGGAGCACAUGGCGGUCUCAUCAAAGGGAGAAAGUUCACGGAAUGGAAAAACGUUUGGAGAAGAGUGAACACUCUCCCCUUUGCCGGAAGAGAGUCUGAGAAGCGGUCUCAGACCUCAUCUGCAGGGAGGCAGCUCAGGAAGGUGCGCAGUGGCACGGCGAGUGCAGGCAGGGGAGGCAAGGUGAACGCGGGUGCCUACAAGGGACACUGUCUCUUCAUCUCCC